GAGUUUGAUCAUGGCUCAGAUUGAACGCUGGCGGCGUGCCUAACACAUGCAAGUCGAGCGGUAACAGGUGUAGCAAUACAUGCUGACGAGCGGCGGACGGGUGAGUAAUGCUUGGGAAUCUUCCCGGUAGUGGGGAAUAACCAACCGAAAGGUUGGCUAAUACCGCAUACGUCCUACGGGAGAAAGCGGGGGACCGUAAGGCCUCGCGCUAUCGGAUGAGCCCAAGUCGGAUUAGCUAGUUGGCGGGGUAACGGCCCACCAAGGCGACGAUCCGUAGCUGGUCUGAGAGGACGACCAGCCACACUGGGACUGAGACACGGCCCAGACUCCUACGGGAGGCAGCAGUGGGGAAUAUUGGACAAUGGGGGGCAACCCUGAUCCAGCGACGCCGCGUGUGUGAAGAAAGGCCUGCGGGUUGU
rnacentral:rRNA from 1 species